GUAUAUCGUAAUUUUUACAUUUAUAAUUAAUCUAAAGUAUACAGUUCAAAACUGUUCAAUAUGCAUACUGUUGUGGAAAUGAAAACAAAAAUUGUAGUAGCGCUGUAACCUUUGCAUUUAAUUCUCCUGAUAGCCUAAAUUAUGUAAAAAUAAACAAAUACUUGCAAUCGUCUUAAGUUGUGGGUCCUGAAUCUGGAAUCUAUUAAAGUUUGACUUUUUGAAUGGAAUUAUGGAAAUUAAAUAUCUUUCCACGAAAUGUUCUGUACUGUAAAUUAUCUUGUUGCCAAUAUUGGAUUUUUUUCAUUAACAAAUAAAUUAAAAUAAUCUGUACUCAGUCACAGAAAAUGUUUUAGAGAUAUUUGUAGUCUAUAUUGUAAUAUAAUUUAUUCGGUUUAGCAAAAGUCAUGUAAGUCAAGUUUCCUGCCUGUAGACCUGGCAGGCAGCCUGUAGUCAGUCUUAAUUAAUGGGGCCACUGCACCUGGUCCGCGCGGACAGGCGAACUUGAGUUCUGGCGGAACUUUGGAAGCGGUGGAUUUGAGCGGACCGAUCAGCGCGCUGCAUUUGAGGACCCGUCGCACUCGGUGGUUGGCGUUUUUGUCCAGCUAUUCCGCUCAGAUUGUGCAGAGACUUCAUCAUCCAACCUUCUCCGUCUGAUCGGCUCUCGUUCUCAGAGUGAAAAUCCAGCUAUCAUCGGACCAGAGCGGACUCCGGAAACGUAUCGAUCUGCCACUAAACAGCUGGAAAGAGAGGAUGUGACAGAAGUACAGGGGACUAAGUUCAGAUACGACGGAUACACAAAAGGACAUCCACGAUGCCAUUCGAGCAGCGCUUCCUGGUCUUUCACAGGAAGUUUUGGCCGCUUUAGAGGACGUUUCGGAGAAACUCGGCACCGCAACCGCAGACGAUUUCCAGUAUAUCACCGAAGGAGACUUGCAGCCUGUGCCGAAGCCCAUUCGGGCCAGAAGACCGGUCGCUGCACGGGCCCAAAAUAGUAAGUAUUUUGAGAUAAAGUCUUGUGUAACUUUAGCAU